AAGGGUUCCAAAAAAAAUAAAUCAAAAAAGAAAUAAAAACACAGAACCGGUUCUAAAUAUGGCAUUUACAGAGAUGGUUAGAACCCGUUACGUGUCUCUUUGAUAUUGGAUAAUGCAUUUUUUGUCUCUCUCUUCUUUCUCGAGGUUUCCAGCGUGACAACAAUAUAGACAAAUCCGUCGUUGAUCGGAAGGUGAAAGCUCCGUCACCGUCUCUUCUCCUUCAUCUUGUUCUCAUGACGCCACCGAGACCACCGUCAGGGAGACAAAGGCCGCUGCGUUAUUAAUCAGAUUCAGAGAGAACAGAAGGUAGCGGCAGUUGGGACACGCUUGAAUGGAACAAACUCAAUUCGCAGCACACAGCUUCAGGUUCAAGUUCAACAUCUUUCGCUAAUUUGAGUUGCUUGCUCGAAUCCGAGAGGGUCAUCGUUGAGAUUCUCUUGGUUUUGAAGAUCAUUCUUACUCUUUGAUGCUUUUACUACACAGAAGCUCAUAGGAAAUAUGGUGGAAUUGGAACUCUUCUUGUGAUCAAGGUCUCUCCUGAAUCAGCAAGCCAAUUUGGAGAACUGGUGGCAGAUCCAGUUACUAAUGAGCUGCUUCAUUACACCGAGAAACCCGAAACUUUUGUCAGUGACCGUAUUAACUGCUGUGUUUAUGUAUUUACACCUGACAUUUUUACUGCCAUAAGACUAAGAGAUGUUUCCUCUCAAAGGAAAGACACAGCAAUUCUGAGACGUGUUUCCAGCUUUGAAGCUCUUCAACAGGCAACAAGGUUUGUCUGUCUGUCUCUUGUCUGCGUGUCUCUUCAUACAUAACUGAAUAGCCUUUUUAACUGAAUAGCCUUCUUAUAUGAUAUGUUUUCACCCUUUAGAAAAAAAAAAAUUUAAGAAACUCUAAGAGGUUCUCCCAUUGGACCAUGAGAAAAUUAAUUACACUAACAAAGGUUCUAAAUUUUUCAAAUCACACAAUUAAUUAUUAAAUUAUUCAUUAGAGCCCAUAAUAGGCUCUAACCAUUGGAGUUGCUCUUAGAUAUUGUGGAUUAGACUCCAAAAAGAGCAUGACAAUAAGACAAAAAGUUUAGUUUUGAAUGACAAGGCAUCUGGGGUGGUGGCGCAGUUGGCUAGCGCGUAGUUCUCAUAGCUUCUGAGUGAUCCUGAGAUCGAGAGUUCGAACCUCUCUCACCCCAUUUUCUUUUAUGUCAAAUCCAUUAUCCAUAUGUUUUGAGAAAAUUUGUGUUGUUUUCUCAGAGUCUCUAUUAGAUUCCUUAUCAAUACAACUGGCCCAAAACUAGUCAUCAAAACCAUAUAUAUUGUAUUUUCUAGUUUUAGCCCUUUGGUAAGCCCAUCAGGUUCGACUGCUUCCCCCCCCCCUCCCCCUCUCUCCUUCAUUAACGACGAAGUGGGUCAUUGGUCAUGUCAUGGUCAUGAAUGCAUCACGAAGCAAUUAUUCGAGAGGAUAAGUUAGUACAAUGAUGAAGAAAAAAAAACUAAAACAUUAGGAUAUUGGUACCCAUCUAGAUCAUUUGAAAAGAUCCACAUAUCAUCACUUGAAAACUCCACGAUAUGGUGUAUACUUUAUAUAAAGCUCAUUCGUAAUUACUUAUCCCUUCAAUUCUCUCACAUGUUCCCUAAGUUCCAUUCGUAUAAGUUUGUCCCUACAACUACAAAUACACAUUCAUAGGGAUGGCAUCACAUCAGUAACGUUUAAAUUCAUUAAUCGCUGAUUUUCUUAUGCAGUCUGUUCUUUUUUUAUUCAGUUAUAGUUUAAAGAUAUUUUUUGAGUCGCUCAAAAGCUCUUCUUGAGUGUUGAACAAUAAAUAAUGAUUGGGUUGUGCAAAGAAAAGAAAAGGCUUUGAUUUAUAUAGAGAUCUACAUGCAAUGCCAUGUGUGCACAUGAUAAACUUAAGAGCGAAUGAGACUGUGUGGCAAUGCCAUUUUUAAUAUUUUGACGUGAAAGAGAAAGGGAUAGGAUAGAACCCCACCAGUGUUAAAGGAAUUCACAUGGAAUUUCUCGUUAAUUAAUUAUCUUUGUUACUAUUCAUUUCAUAAUUAUUCCUUGAGGAAUUUUGCAAAAGCACCUUUUUCUUUGAUUUAUCAUAUUUGUUCCUUCUCUAUGCCAUUUAUCAUCUACUAUGAUUGAUGCCUUACAUCGUUUUCCUACGACAAUAAAUCAAUCAAUUUUAUUUUAUUUUUUUUUGAAAAAGAAAUCAAGUUUUUUUCUUGGAGUUUAGCAUAUUUGAAUUAGCAUUAUGUCUUUUAGCAGAUCAAUAUUACUUUGUGAAUAUUAGCUAUGAUAAAUUAUUUUCAUUUCAUAAGCAUCCCUUGGAUUAUUUAGCAAAGCUUUCUUUGUUUGUUUUUUUAACACCAAAUGCUUAUAUUAAAUUAAGGGUCUAAUCGGCUAAGUUGGUUAUAAUGGGAGAUCUUCGACCAUAAACUGAUAAACGAAAAUAAUUAAAACACGACGAAAGAUAGAUGUGACUAAAAAAAGAAGAAACUCAUAGAAAAGCUUCGCUUGUAAUCUAAGAGGUCAAAAACGACGUUGAAAAACCCAAUCAAUGAAUUUUGAUAGCAAACGUCCGAAAACCUUCGUAAAAAAUUACAGAUUCGGUGAGAGGAUCACAAUUUCGAUUCUAUGAAAAAACGUCAAUGCUUGAAACGGCAUAAUAUUUAUGUUUUUGUCUUACAUCGAACAGCUUAUUACAGUUUACGAAGGAAUAAAUUAUUCAAGUGGAUUAGAGUGGACAAGAUUAUUUUUGUUUUUGUCUUUUCCACUUGAAAAAUGUAUUCCUGUAUAAACUGUAAUAUCACGUGACGGUAAUAUGUUUAUUUAGUUUUCUCUUUUUUUUUGGCUAAACGUUAUUUUAUUUUAUUUAGAACUACAUCGAAAUCACAGUUCCAUUGAUUUUACAGCCUAUAUAUAUAUAAUACAAAGAGUGGUGGAUUUGGUAGCACUUAAGGCCAAAUUAGUUGAGGAAAAUUUUCUGUUAGGAAAUCUUCUAAUUGGCAAAAUAAGAUAUCCACAUCUAUAAAUUUGAAAAAUGCAGAAUAUCUUUAUGCAAUUGGAAUUUCAUUUUUUGUUGGCAUCCAAUGAAUAUAUAUACACACAUACUUAAAUAUUCCUUUUGUAUCACUUUAAGUGGUGUUUAAGAAUUUUUAUUUUGUUUUAUAAUGUCAUUUAAAAUUUAUGACCUAUUAUAAAAUACUGUAUUUUUUAUUUGUUGAAUUAGUUUUAUUUAAUGCUACUUUUAUGUAACCAAGAUAAAUUGUAUAAAAAUUUAUAUUUUUUUAAUUUUUGUGCAAAAAACUUAAACACUGAUAUGGAAUGAGUACGAAUAUAACUUCACCGACUGAGUAUUUUCAUUUUUACCCUUCACUUGUUAUGUCCGGCCGGUUUGGCUUCUUCGCGUCAUGGACUAAUGGAAUUAAGAAGUGAGUCGUCACUGUGAUUUAUGAUUAUAUACAUACAUUAACAAUGUAGGCAGUUCUCAAAUAAAAAAAAACAAUGUGGGAUUGUUUUGAUUA